GACGAACGCUGGCGGCGUGCUUAACACAUGCAAGUCGAACGAAGUGGCGAACGGGUGAGUAACGCGUAAUCAACCUGCCCUUCAGGGGGGGACAACAGUUGGAAACGACUGCUAAUACCGCAUCCUGAGGGAGGUGAUUGCGUCGGAUUAGCUCGUUGGAGGGGUAACGGCCCACCAAGGCGAUGAUCAGUAGGCGGUCUGAGAGGAUGAACGGCCAAAUUGGGACUGAGAAACGGCCCAGACUCCUACGGGAGGCAGCAGGGGGGAAUUUGCCGAAAUGGACGAAAGGCUGAAGGAGCAACGCCGGGGGAGUGAUGACGGCCUUCGGGGUGUAAAGCUCUGUUAAUCGGGACGCGGUACCGGAAUAGAAAGCCACGGCUAACUACGUGCCAGCAGCCGCGGUAAUAC
rnacentral:rRNA from 1 species